rnacentral:rRNA from 1 species
ACUCUGGUAUUGAUUGGUGCUUGCAUCAUGAUUUACAUUUGAGUGAGUGGCGAACUGGUGAGUAACACGUGGGAAACCUGCCCAGAAGCGGGGGAUAACACCUGGAAACAGAUGCUAAUACCGCAUAACAACUUGGACCGCAUGGUCCGAGUUUGAAAGAUGGCUUCGGCUAUCACUUUUGGAUGGUCCCGCGGCGUAUUAGCUAGAUGGUGGGGUAACGGCUCACCAUGGCAAUGAUACGUAGCCGACCUGAGAGGGUAAUCGGCCACAUUGGGACUGAGACACGGCCCAAACUCCUACGGGAGGCAGCAGUAGGGAAUCUUCCACAAUGGACGAAAGUCUGAUGGAGCAACGCCGCGUGAGUGAAGAAGGGUUUCGGCUCGUAAAACUCUGUUGUUAAAGAAGAACAUAUCUGAGAGUAACUGUUCAGGUAUUGACGGUAUUUAACCAGAAAGCCACGGCUAACUACGUGCCAGCAGCCGCGGUAAUACGUAGGUGGCAAGCGUUGUCCGGAUUUAUUGGGCGUAAAGCGAGCGCAGGCGGUUUUUUAAGUCUGAUGUGAAAGCCUUCGGCUCAACCGAAGAAGUGCAUCGGAAACUGGGAAACUUGAGUGCAGAAGAGGACAGUGGAACUCCAUGUGUAGCGGUGAAAUGCGUAGAUAUAUGGAAGAACACCAGUGGCGAAGGCGGCUGUCUGGUCUGUAACUGACGCUGAGGCUCGAAAGUAUGGGUAGCAAACAGGAUUAGAUACCCUGGUAGUCCAUACCGUAAACGAUGAAUGCUAAGUGUUGGAGGGUUUCCGCCCUUCAGUGCUGCAGCUAACGCAUUAAGCAUUCCGCCUGGGGAGUACGGCCGCAAGGCUGAAACUCAAAGGAAUUGACGGGGGCCCGCACAAGCGGUGGAGCAUGUGGUUUAAUUCGAAGCUACGCGAAGAACCUUACCAGGUCUUGACAUACUAUGCAAAUCUAAGAGAUUAGACGUUCCCUUCGGGGACAUGGAUACAGGUGGUGCAUGGUUGUCGUCAGCUCGUGUCGUGAGAUGUUGGGUUAAGUCCCGCAACGAGCGCAACCCUUAUUAUCAGUUGCCAGCAUUAAGUUGGGCACUCUGGUGAGACUGCCGGUGACAAACCGGAGGAAGGUGGGGAUGACGUCAAAUCAUCAUGCCCCUUAUGACCUGGGCUACACACGUGCUACAAUGGAUGGUACAACGAGUUGCGAACUCGCGAGAGUAAGCUAAUCUCUUAAAGCCAUUCUCAGUUCGGAUUGUAGGCUGCAACUCGCCUACAUGAAGUCGGAAUCGCUAGUAAUCGCGGAUCAGCAUGCCGCGGUGAAUACGUUCCCGGGCCUUGUACACACCGCCCGUCACACCAUGAGAGUUUGUAACACCCAAAGUCGG